GGGGAUGUAGCUCAGUGGGAGAGCAAUGGCUUUGCAAGCCAUGGGUCGUCGGUUCGAAUCCGAUCAUCUCCACCA
rnacentral:tRNA from 2 species